UUUAAAGAUGGUACUACAGAUAGGGCCUGGAGCAAGUGCAAUGUGCUGUCCAUAGGGACUACCAGACUCAAGCUGCUGGCAGUGAUGGUGUUUGCUGGAGAAUCCUGAUGCUGCACAUGAGUGACAGACAAUGUCCUGCUAAUGGAAUUGGUAUGGAUAAGUCCAUGCUGCAGCACGUCCAUCACAGCAGAGGAUGCUGCUCUGCUCUCCUACUUGGGAGUUUUUGGAGUGUCAGAACUUCUCUCCAAAGGAGGAAGAAGGCUUUGAACUUCAGAAGUGUUCCUAGACAGAACAGAAGCCCACUGGUGGAAGGUCGUCUUGCUGCUGCAGAUAGAGAUCUAAGCCUGUGGAGGACAGCUCGGACAGUCAUCACUAACUCAAAGACAAACACCGACACUCCUUCCUGCAGAGGCGUUACUUCAUUCUUCAGCAGAUUCACAGCUUCUAGAAGGCAAAAGCAUUGGCUUGUCCCUGAACCUUCUCUCUUCGCUGUUCAAAAUUGCAUUCUAAAGAUGACACAACAUUCUGCAACCAGACAUCAAUUUCAGGAUGCUCUCUGUAGCUGAGGCACAUCCUGGUUGAAUGUUAUUGUGAGUAAGCUCAUAUAAAGAGGAAUUUGUCUACUGAGAACUGAAUCAAGUGGUACUCACUGUAGCAAUGUGGAUCAAAACCCAUUAACACCUUAACUAGCUAUGAUUGUGUAUCAUGUAUAAAUAACAUUUAAAUAUUCAUCUAAUUAUGCAGUAUUAGUUAUCAUUCUUGUUUAUCUGACG
ensembl:lncRNA